UACGGGAGGCAGCAGUAGGGAAUCUUCCACAAUGGGCGCAAGCCUGAUGGAGCAACGCCGCGUGUGUGAUGAAGGCUUUCGGGUCGUAAAGCACUGUUGUAUGGGAAGAAAUGCUAAAAUAGGGAAUGAUUUUAGUUUGACGGUACCAUACCAGAAAGGGACGGCUAAAUACGUGCCAGCAGCCGCGGUAAUACGUAUGUCCCGAGCGUUAUCCGGAUUUAUUGGGCGUAAAGCGAGCGCAGACGGUUGAUUAAGUCUGAUGUGAAAGCCCGGAGCUCAACUCCGGAAUGGCAUUGGAAACUGGUUAACUUGAGUGUUGUAGAGGUAAGUGGAACUCCAUGUGUAGCGGUGGAAUGCGUAGAUAUAUGGAAGAACACCAGUGGCGAAGGCGGCUUACUGGACAACAACUGACGUUGAGGCUCGAAAGUGUGGGUAGCAAACAGGAUUAGAUACCCUGGUAGUCCACACCGUAAACGAUGAAUACUAGGUGUUAGGAGGUUUCCGCCUCUUAGUGCCGAAGCUAACGCAUUAAGUAUUCCGCCUGGGGAGUACGACCGCAAGGUUGAAACUCAAAGGAAUUGACGGAAGGGC
rnacentral:rRNA from 1 species